UACGUAGGGGGCUAGCGUUGUCCGGAAUCAUUGGGCGUAAAGAGCGUGUAGGCGGUCCGGUAAGUCCGUUGUGAAAGUCAGGGGCUCAACCCUUGAAUGCCGGCGGAUACUGUCGGGCUAGAGUCCGGAAGAGGCAAGUGGAAUUCCCGGUGUAGCGGUGAAAUGCGCAGAUAUCGGGAGGAACAGCUAGGGCGAAGGCAGCUUGCGGGGACGGUACUGACGCUGAGACGCGAAAGCGUGGGGAGCGAACAGG
rnacentral:rRNA from 1 species